UCUCCCGCGGGCCCUCCGGCGGUCGCGGCGCAGACGCGCCCUUCCCAGCAGCCCUUGUACCUCUCCCGGCAGGCUGCGCGGCGGCGCGCGGCAGGAUGAUCCACGAGCUGCUGCUAGCGCUGAGCGGCUACCCGGGGGCGGCCUUCACCUGGAGCAAGCGCGGCGGCCUGCAGGUGUCCCAGGAACUGCCCUUCUUGCACCCCAGCGAGACGAGCGUCCUCAACCGGCUCUGCCGUCUCGGCACCGACUACAUCCGCUUCGCCGAAUUCGUGGAGCAGUACACUGGGCACGUACAGCAGCAGGACCAUCAUGUAUCUCAGCAAAACCAGGGUGGAUUACAUGGGAUUUAUUUGCGAGCGUUCUGCACAGGUCUUGAUUCAGUAUUGCAGCCAUAUCGACAAGCACUACUUGACCUUGAACAAGAGUUUUUGGCUGACCCACAUCUUUCCAUCUCACAUGUUAAUUAUUCCUUGGACCAGUUUCAGUUACUCUUCCCAUCUGUAAUGGUCGUGGUGGAACAGAUCAAGACUCAGAAGAUUCAUGGAUGUCAGAUAUUGGAAACCGUCCACAAACAUAGCUGUGGGGGGUUGCCUCCUGUUCGCAGUGCUCUUGAAAAGAUUCUGGCUGUGUGUCAUGGAGUCAUGUAUAAGCAGCUAUCUGCCUGGAUGCUACAUGGAUUGCUACUAGACCAACAUGAAGAGUUCUUUAUCAAACAGGGCCCCUCUACUGGAAAUGUCCCUGGCCAACCUGAAGAUGAUGAUGAUGACCUAGGAAUUGGGGGACUUACAGGAAAACAGCUACGAGAGCUGCAGGACUUGCGCUUGAUUGAGGAGGAGAACAUGUUAGCUCCAUCUUUAAAACAGUUUUCUCUGCGAGUGGAAAUGCUGCCAUCAUACAUUCCUGUGCGGGUUGCUGAGAAAAUCUUGUUUGUAGGAGAAUCCGUACAGAUGUUUGAGAAUCAAAAUGUUAACCUGACCAGAAAAGGCUCCAUCCUAAAAAACCAGGAGGACACUUUUGCAGCAGAACUACACCGACUCAAGCAGCAACCACUCUUUAGUUUGGUGGACUUUGAAUCUGUGGUUGACUGGAUACGGAGCACUGUUGCUGAGCAUCUUUGGAAACUGAUGGUGGAGGAAUCUGAUUUACUAGGACAACUGAAGAUUAUAAAAGACUUUUAUCUUUUGGGAAGAGGUGAGCUGUUUCAGGCUUUCAUUGACACUGCACAGCACAUGUUAAAAACACCACCUACGGCUGUAACUGAACAUGAUGUCAAUGUUGCAUUUCAGCAGUCUGCUCAUAAGGUACUGUUAGAUGAUGACAACCUUCUCCCUCUGCUUCACUUGACCAUUGAGUAUCAUGGAAAGGAGCAUAAAGAUACUCCUCAGGCUCGUGAAGGGCCUACCCGGGAGUUAUCUCCACGUGAAGCCCCUGCAUCUGGCUGGGCAGCUCUGGGCCUUUCUUACAAAGUUCAGUGGCCACUGCACAUUCUCUUUACUCCUGCUGUUUUGGAGAAGUACAAUGUUGUGUUCAAAUAUCUGCUAAGUGUGCGACGGGUCCAGGCUGAGCUGCAACACUGCUGGGCUCUCCAGAUGCAACGCAAACACCUGAAAUCUAACAGAACUGAUGCCAUCAAGUGGCGUCUGAGGGACCACAUGGCUUUCCUUGUGGACAAUCUUCAGUAUUAUCUGCAGGUGGAUGUACUGGAAUCUCAGUUCUCACAGCUUCUCCAGCAGAUAAAUGCCACACGAGAUUUUGAGAGUAUUAGACUGGCUCAUGACCAUUUCUUAAGUAAUCUGUUGGCUCAGUCUUUCAUCCUCCUAAAGCCUGUUUUCCACUGCUUAAAUGAAAUUCUAGAUCUUUGUCAUAGUUUUUGUUCUCUGGUGAGUCAGAAUCUGGGCCCAUUAGAUGAGCGGGGAGCUGCACAACUCAGUAUUCUGGUGAAGGGAUUCAGUCGUCAGUCAUCGCUGCUCUUCAAGAUUCUCUCUAGUGUUCGAAACCACCAGAUAAACUCUGACCUAGCUCAGCUGCUACUACGCUUGGAUUAUAACAAAUACUACACCCAGGCUGGAGGAACCUUGGGCAGUUUUGGAGUUUGAACACCAAGACCUUUUCUUCAGACUGUGACCAACCGUAAGGCAAGCAGUGAUGCCUCUGGUGCUCUUGGAAUUUUUUCCUUGUAGUUGGUGCUUGCCUGAUGAACCACUGUUUAAGUGGCACUUCCUGCCAAUUCUGUACAAUUGCCUAUUGAGUGCAGAAAGCUUUUUCUUUUACGCUGAACUAGUAAAACCAUGCUUUCUGCAGCUCUGCAUCUACUUAUAAAUGCUUCUAGGGAGGCAGUCUGUGCUUCUUCUGAAAGCGGAGAAAAAACAAGAAUUAUGAUGUCAGAAUUGCAGUAUCUUAACUGGAGCUGGGCUAUGAUCCUUUGCAAGCUGGAAUAUGGAGGAAGUAGUCUGUUGUUCUCGACUAUGACUGAAGUUUUGGCUGUCUUCAGAACUUCCACUUGUGCAAUAAACUGACUUACAGGAGACAGUGUCUGCUAAUCAAAUACAUACUUCUCUGUAAAUGAAACAACUGCAAUAGCAAUUUGAGAAAUAAGGCUCUGGAUCACCCACUCCUGCGAGACAACAGGCAGACGUAAUGCUUCUGCACACUUCAAGACAACAGCUGGGCAGGAAAAGUCAGUCACCACCACAUCAUAAACACCCAAAGCAAUAUCUGCACAGGAGGAAAGAGGCAUCGGUCAGGUUAAAUAAAAGAAAAAGGAUCUUUCCUUUCAGCAGCA